AUUAGAGUUUGAUCAUGGCUCAGAUUGAACGCUGGCGGCAUGCCUUACACAUGCAAGUCGAACGGCAGCGCGGGGGCAACCCUGGCGGCGAGUGGCGAACGGGUGAGUAAUACAUCGGAACGUGUCCUGGAGUGGGGGAUAGCCCGGCGAAAGCCGGAUUAAUACCGCAUACGCUCUACGGAGGAAAGCGGGGGACCGAGGCCUCGCGCUCAAGGAGCGGCCGAUGGCGGAUUAGCUAGUUGGUGGGGUAAAGGCCCACCAAGGCGACGAUCCGUAGCUGGUCUGAGAGGACGACCAGCCACACUGGGACUGAGACACGGCCCAGACUCCUACGGGAGGCAGCAGUGGGGAAUUUUGGACAAUGGGCGAAAGCCUGAUCCAGCAAUGCCGCGUGUGUGAAGAAGGCCUUCGGGUUGUAAAGCACUUUUGUCCGGAAAGAAAACUUCGCCUCUAAUACAGGUGGAGGAUGACGGUACCGGAAGAAUAAGCACCGGCUAACUACGUGCCAGCAGCCGCGGUAAUACGUAGGGUGCAAGCGUUAAUCGGAAUUACUGGGCGUAAAGCGUGCGCAGGCGGUGAUGUAAGACCGAUGUGAAAUCCCCGGGCUUAACCUGGGAACUGCAUUGGUGACUGCAUUGCUAGAGUAUGGCAGAGGGGGGUGGAAUUCCACGUGUAGCAGUGAAAUGCGUAGAGAUGUGGAGGAACACCGAUGGCGAAGGCAGCCCCCUGGGCCAAUACUGACGCUCAUGCACGAAAGCGUGGGGAGCAAACAGGAUUAGAUACCCUGGUAGUCCACGCCCUAAACGAUGUCAACUGGUUGUUGGGGAUUCAUUUCCUUAGUAACGAAGCUAACGCGUGAAGUUGACC
rnacentral:rRNA from 1 species